GACGAACGCUGGCUGCGUGCUUAACACAUGCAAGUCGAGCGGAAAGGACCUGGUUUCUUGCGUUGCUCGGGUGCCGAACGGGCACGUAACACUAGAGUAUCCUCCCCUUGCCUUUGAGUUAGCUUUAGGACACUGGGAGUCAUACCGGUAACGAGCUCCUGCUUCUUCGUGGGUCUUACAACGUUUCGGCGGUUGGGGAUGGACUCGCGGGUUUGCAGCUGGUUGGUGGGGUAGUGGCUUACCAGGGCUUCGACGGGUAGCCGGCCUGAGAGGGUGACCGGCAAAAUGGGGACUGUGAUACGGCCCGGAGUCCUGAGGGAGGCAGCAGUGGGGAAGAGUGCACAAUGGGCGGAAGCAGGAUGCAGCAACGCCGCGUGCGGGAUGACGGCCUUCUGGUAUGAAACGGCUUUGGCCGGGGACGAAGCGUGAGUGACGGUAAUGGAUAAAGAAGCACCGGCUAACUACGUG
rnacentral:rRNA from 1 species